rnacentral:rRNA from 1 species
AACGAACGCUGGCGGCAUGCCUAACACAUGCAAGUCGAACGAGACCUUCGGGUCUAGUUGCGCACGUGUGCGUAACGCGUGGGAACCUGCCCGUAGGUUCGGAAUAACUCCCCGAAAGGGGUGCUAAUACCGGAUAAUGUCUUCCGACCAAAGAUUUAUCGCCUUUGGAUGGGCCCGCGUUGGAUUAGCUAGUUGGUAGGGUAAUAGCCUACCAAGGCGACGAUCCAUGGCUGGUCUGAGAGGAUGAUCAGCCACACUGGGACUGCGACACGGACUAGAAUCCGACGGGAGGGAGCAGUGGGGAAUAUUGGACAAGGGGCGAAAGCGUGAUCAAGCAAUGCCGCGUGAGUGAUGAAGGCCUUAGGGUUGUAAAGCUCUUUUACCCGGGAUGAGAAUGACAGUACCGGGAGAAGAAGCACCGGCUAACUCCGUG